CGCAAACAUUCUGUGCUGAUCGUCAUCGGACGGGUCAGCCACAUCUGGCAGGCGGGACACAUCAGCAGAGAGAUCGAACGAGGUAUACGGUCAUGGGACGUGGACCUGAUAGCCUGUAACCUGAAUCUGUAUCUUCAAGAAUUUCUGACUCACCACAUAGUUUCAUUCAAGAGUGCAGGCCAGAGGUGUCUGCGCCACAGCACCAGAGUGUUGGACACUCAGGUGCUGAUAAGUCCCUCUGAGGAACAGCUCCACUCAGAG